GGGGAUUUGGCUCAGUGGUAGAGCGCUUGCCUAGGAAGCACAAGGUCCUGGGUUCGGUCCCCAGCUCG
rnacentral:tRNA from 1 species